rnacentral:lncRNA from 1 species
GAUGAAUUAUAGAAUAUGAAUUUGAACCCUUGACAAGCAUGUAGAAGCCGAUGUCUUCUUGGCUAAUUUUAUGGAGUAUCAGAUAAUAGAACUAUUGCCACAGUAUCAGUAGGCUAGAACGAAUGACGACAUUAUAAAACUAUAUCCCAAAACUGUGGAUAUCUAUUAAAAGGAAACUGAUGCUAAGCAUUGCUGCCCAAAUGUUCCAACUGAACCAGUUAUAUGAGUAUAUAGUAAACAUUAAGAUGUACCCCUG